rnacentral:rRNA from 1 species
UAAGCAUAUCAAUAAGCGGAGGAAAAGAAACCAACAGGGAUUGCCUCAGUAACGGCGAGUGAAGCGGCAAAAGCUCAAAUUUGAAAUCUAGCACUUUCAGUGUUCGAGUUGUAAUUUGAAGAAGGUAACUUUGGUUUUGGCUCUUGUCUAUGUUCCUUGGAACAGGACGUCACAGAGGGUGAGAAUCCCGUGCGAUGAGAUGCCCAAUUCCAUGUAAAGUGCUUUCGAAGAGUCGAGUUGUUUGGGAAUGCAGCUCUAAGUGGGUGGUAAAUUCCAUCUAAAGCUAAAUAUUGGCGAGAGACCGAUAGCGAACAAGUACAGUGAUGGAAAGAUGAAAAGAACUUUGAAAAGAGAGUGAAAAAGUACGUGAAAUUGUUGAAAGGGAAGGGCUUGAGAUCAGACUUGGUAUUUUGCGUUCCCUUCCUUUUUGGUUGGGUUCCUCGCAGUUUACUGGGCCAGCAUCGGUUUGGAUGGUAGGAUAAUGACAUUGGAAUGUAGCUUUACUUCGGUGAAGUGUUAUAGACUUUGUUGAUACUGCCUAUCUAGACCGAGGACUGCGUCUUGGA